GACGAACGCUGGCGGCGUGCCUAAUACAUGCAAGUAGAACGCACAGUUUAUACCGUAGCUUGCUACACCAUAAACUGUGAGUUGCGAACGGGUGAGUAACGCGUAGGUAACCUGCCUGGUAGCGGGGGAUAACUAUUGGAAACGAUAGCUGAUACCGCAUAAUAUUGAUUAUUGCAUGAUAAUUGAUUGAAAGAUGCUAUUGCAUCACUACCAGAUGGACCUGCGUUGUAUUAGCUAGUAGGUGAGGUAACGGCUCACCUAGGCGACGAUACAUAGCCGACCUGAGAGGGUGAUCGGCCACACUGGGACUGAGACACGGCCCAGACUCCUACGGGAGGCAGCAGUAGGGAAUCUUCGGCAAUGGACGAAAGUCUGACCGAGCAACGCCGCGGGAGUGAAGAAGGUUUUCGGAUCGUAAAGCUCUGUUGUAAGAGAAGAACGGGUGUGAGAGUGGAAAGUUCACACUGUGACGGUAUCUUACCAGAAAGGGACGGCUAACUACGUG
rnacentral:rRNA from 1 species